UGCAUCGCGCUGCGACUGCAUGUUGCUUCAAGUGCACCAUUCUGCACCAUGGAUGUGCACAAGAGCUUUGUGCUGCUCUGUUUGAAGCGUU